rfam:Oryza brachyantha chromosome 9, whole genome shotgun sequence.
AGGACAAGAGCCGCCCAGGUUAGCCAAGGAGACUGCCUGUGAGAUCACAUUCAGAAGAAGCAGAAAAUGCAUCUCUCUCUGAAGCCUCCUCCUGCAGGAGGCCACAGGCAAGUCAUCCUUGGCUACCAGAUGCGACCUCUCAUCG